CUUCGAAGGCCAGUUGAGGACAAAUGAAAUGAAUGUGGGUAUCGAUACCGCCGGCCGUAAGGAUCAAACCCUCCCCCGCAAUCACCUCGGUCGUUACUCCGCAGAUCAUGCCUGGGGAGACGCCGGCCAUCACGUCGGGAUUGCCCGCUUUGCCGAUCCCGGCGAUCAGCCCAUCCUUGAUGCCGACAUCGGCCUUAUAGAUGCCCGUGUAAUCGACAAUCAGCGCAUUGGUGAUCAGACAGUCCAACGCCUCGGCCUGGCCGACUCCGGCUGCCUGCCCGCUGCCUUCCCGGAG
rnacentral:sRNA from 1 species